GAUGAAGAACGCAGCGAAAUGCGAUAAGUAGUGUGAAUUGCAGAAUUCAGUGAAUCAUCGAGUCUUUGAACGCACAUUGCGCCCCCUGGUAUUCCGGGGGGCAUGCCUGUCCGAGCGUCAUUGCUGCCCUCAAGCACGGCUUGUGUGUUGGGCCGUCGUCCCCCUCCUAGGGGACGGGCCCGAAAGGCAGCGGCGGCACCGCGUCCGGUCCUCGAGCGUAUGGGGCUUCGUCACCCGCUCGGUAGGCCCGGCCGGCGCUUGCCGACGACCAUCAAUCUCUUUCUCCAGGUUGACCUCGGAUCAGGUAGGGAUACCCGCUGAACUUAAGCAUAUCAAUAAGCGGAGGA
rnacentral:misc_RNA from 1 species